rnacentral:tRNA from 1 species
GGUCUUCUGGUGAAUACUCAUCAUCACAACGAAAUUUCAAUUCGUAGUACAUCAAGACUAAAAUUAGACUCUCUA